rnacentral:SRP_RNA from 1 species
CUGGCCAGCGGCGAGCAUGCCGCGGACGCGCCGGACGGGGCGGGCGAGGGGGGGAGAAACCUCGACCUCGCUACCUCGGCG